GAGCGUGCCAAACCCUGGCUGCUGAAAGGAAAACCGUAUUAUUUUAAGAGGACUGUGUGUGCCAGCCCGUGGUCAGACACCAGGAAGAGGCAGAGUCGCCUAGGACCUUCAUUCCUGCCCAGCUCUCCCUGCCUGGCACCCUCCAGCUGAAGAUGAGGGAUGGCUCUGGGGAAAUUCCACUCUGUAAUUCAUUUAAGUAGGAAAAACAGAGCUCCCGCUCUGGAAGAUUCAGCCCUGAGCAAAAGGCACUUGGAAUUUACACGGGGGGCUCAGAUAUCCAUGUGAAACACAGAAGAAAACCUGGAGUCAGGUGACAUGAGAUGCAGCCAGCUCUGACACCAAAAAGCCAUGGGACCUGAAGCCCAGCCACAGGCAAAGAACAGGCUCUCCUGCUGAAGAUGCCAAGUGGAGAACAGAGGCCCUGCAGGAUGAGAAGUCAUGUGGAGAAGAACUGAGACAACUCAGCCAACAGCCAGCACUAACUAUCAGCCAUGUUGGCAGAAGUUUAAGGAAAUACUUUGGGAGGCCCCUGCAAAGCCAGUCUUCUAAGAUAUGAAUGGUGCUGAUGGAAAAAGUUGGAAUGCUUUUUCAAGCAUGAAUUGGACUAUCACCAUGUGGGGUGCUUGGAGCUUACAAUGACUCUUUCAUGGAGCGAGGACACUUUUUUUUCAAAAGUGCUUUUUUAUCAAAAGACACUUUUUUUCUGAAGUGCUUGAUGCUCCAGCCUGAGGCUUCCAGAGGUACCCUGCAGGUUCCGGAGUGUAUAUAGGUGCUGGAUGGAAAUGCACCCGGGGCAGCGGAGUUUGGUGUGAUGGGUUCACACCCACCUGGCACGGACUCCGCUACGUCCCCACUCGCUCGCCCUCCCUCACUGCAGUCUUCUGUUUCUACAAUCGGCACACAAACUACUGCCUCUAUCUUCCUAUAGGAGCUGUUGAUCACUCACUAAGUAUGUAUUCAGGCACAGACCAAAGUGCUGAGAGGAGGGAGAUGUGGUCGGCGCCUUCAAGCUAGAUUUUAUUACGUGCUUCCUGUGUUCUAGGAACUGUUCUGGGUGAGUCUAUUUGACCCUCAAAACUAGCUGAUGAAGCAGGCACUCUUAUCAUGCCCUUUUAACAGAAACGAAAAAUGAGACACCGAGAAGACAAAGAACUUGACACAAGCUCCCAAGGGUUGGAGCCAGAAUUCAACCCCCGGCUGAGCCUGCCAGUAUGAUCCCACUCAUGCUUCCAGCAAAGUGGUGGCAAGGGGAGGCUGAUUACAACAAGGUCUUCAGAACAAGGGUGCCGACUGACAGCACUGAGAAAUUUGGAGUGUUUGGGUGAGUGACGCCAAGGGACAGCAGCCACAUGGUCAGGCAAACAGCACGGAAGCACUGAGCCCCCCAGGCAGUGACCAGAGAAGGACGGGGCCUCCUUAUAUAUAACAUAAUGGUUACAAGUGUGCAGUCUGUAGGCCGAUUGUAUGCAUGAGCUGGGGAUCUUAUUAAAAUGCAGGUUCUGACUCAGGAGGUCUGGGCUUCAGCCUGAGAUUCUGCAUUUCUAAUCAGCUCCAGGUGAUGUCAGGAUGCUGGUCCUUGGACCACACUUUGAGACCUGAGGGUGAAGAGGAGUUAAUGUCCUUUGAGGACUCCCUGGAACAAAACGCCCUUCCCUGUGUUCAGAUACUACCUGUCAUGGGGGUUCCCUCCUCUCCUGGGCAGUCUGGUGUUAUCCUGUCCAUCAGUAAACAUAAACACCUACUUCCAACUGUAGACUCUGUGCUGGAUUCUGGGAACUCACGGCUCUGUACGAAGACUGGGCCCCUGGCCCGAAGGAGUUUGUAUUCCACACCUAAACAUUAAAAGGAAUUGAAAACUCAGAGAAGACAAAAAGAGAAAAAAAAUUCCCAGCAGAAACUAUACAUGGGAAACUAACCCUCUGGUUCUAAUGACAUCUGGAUCUGAGAGGGAAAAGGAUUUGGACUCCCCAGAUGGAGGCAGAGUCUUUAUGAGUUGUACCACCUGCAGGCUCUUCAGUGGUCAAGUCUGGCCUGAUCCAUCCCAAACCCAAGGAGCCUGGGAGAGAUUUGCUUACCCCAAAUAUGCUGUCUCUUCUGGAAUAUGCUGGCCUUUACUUUGAAGUAUCCAGACUCCUCAAGGGACACCAGAUGGCCACCAAGUUGUUUGGGAUAAGCACAUCCACUUUGGGGACAGAACAGACACUGGGAAAUCUCCACUUGGACCUGUUUCCUCGCCCCUGCUUCCUUCCUAACCCCCACUUUCAUGACUAUGGAAACUCCCUACGUCCCAGCAGUAGUGAUUUUUCCCUUGGCUGCUGGAGUUAAAAUUAAGACACCAAUGCCUUCCUGUAGGAAAGAGCUAACAUGAAUGUUACCUUGAUGGAGUUGGAAUUUAGGUCACAGCCACUGACGUUUUCAGCAAACAACAAGCUUUCUCCUUGGCUACUUGAGGAGGGUCCCUGGUAGGGCUGGAGCACCCAGGCCCUUGUCAGGAGGCCCUGAAGCCAUUGCAUGGAUACUGAGGAUGACGGCUAUGAGGCAUGAAGGCCAAGGCGCAGGUUCCCGCUAUGUGACUACACUACGUGGCCACCCACUGCAAACCUUCCAGGAUCUUGCCUGAGUUUGCCGAGAGGCCUGAAUGGAGAGUAAGACCUCGUUGAGCAGCAAGCAUGGGAGAGAAGAGACGCCGUUCAGCAGGGCCUGUUUCUUCCAAGGGGAGCUACGCUAUUCUCAGCCUUCUGGGUAGUUUUCGGUGGCACUGACGUGGGAGGGAAGGCCGAGGCCACCCAGUGUGAAUCGCUGCUGCCUGAAAUGGAAUCCAUUCGACCAGGCGUAGGCAGGCAAUAACAUGAGGGGCCAAUCCCCACAGCUGCUCCCCACCUGCAGCCCGUUCCCAGACACCACAUGGCUCCUUUAGCCUCAAUGCCACCAGGAGAGCAGCUCCGCCUGAGAGACACUGUUCUGCUAAUAACCACUAAUAACCACAGGAACUCUCUGGGCAGAACGCCGGCUGGGUCCUCUCCUGCCUGGGGAGGAAGAGUCAGAGCUUGCAGAUUUACGCACUAUUUGAGGUCCAUCUCUGGCGGAGGUCUUAGGCGUCUGCCAUACUUUUCUGUACUUGAUGAAAGAAGAGCCAGAGCCAGGAAACCCUUCUUCCCAUCUCCCCUAGAAAAAUGUCCACCAGCUUCAUGCAGAAGCUGAGUUCCUCCAGUGAGAGCUCAUAGGACCGCAGAUCUGGGAGGUUUGGGGAAGGCUUCAUAGUUCAGAGAGUCAGAGGCCCAAAGACGCAUUCAUAACUGCUCUUGCCAUCCAACACUUCAUUUAUUCCUCGUUAACGUGCUCUACAUAUUAAUUCAUUUGGUCUGCUUCGUGCAGACCAAAGUUAUAUAAUUGGGGGGGGGUGAUUAAAGAUACUUUCUUCUCCCCUCUGCCACUCUAGAAAACACACCAAUAAUUUGAUUCCAGGUAGCUAGAACGCGGGAUAACAGAGCACUCUGCAAUAUUAAACCAUGUUCAUACCAUAAUAUGUCACCAUGGAAGGAGC